AUUACAAAAUCUCCGGAAACUCUGUAUUUACUUGAUGAAUACCCUUAAACCCUUUUUCUAUGAUGACUGCUUGAGAAGGUUCAGAUGUGA